AUGAACGCUGGCGGCGUGCCUAAUACAUGCAAGUCGAGCGAACAGACGAGGAGCUUGCUCCUCUGACGUUAGCGGCGGACGGGUGAGUAACACGUGGAUAACCUACCUAUAAGACUGGGAUAACUUCGGGAAACCGGAGCUAAUACCGGAUAAUAUAUUGAACCGCAUGGUUCAAUAGUGAAAGACGGUUUUGCUGUCACUUAUAGAUGGAUCCGCGCCGCAUUAGCUAGUUGGUAAGGUAACGGCUUACCAAGGCAACGAUGCGUAGCCGACCUGAGAGGGUGAUCGGCCACACUGGAACUGAGACACGGUCCAGACUCCUACGGGAGGCAGCAGUAGGGAAUCUUCCGCAAUGGGCGAAAGCUUGACGGAGCAACGCCGCGUGAGUGAUGAAGGUCUUCGGAUCGUAAAACUCUGUUAUUAGGGAAGAACAAAUGUGUAGUAACUAUGCACGUCUUGACGGUACCUAAUCAGAAAGCCACGGCUAACUACGUG
rnacentral:rRNA from 1 species